UGCCUCGUAGCUCAGUUGCUUAGAGCGUUGGCAGUACUUGAGCCUUCCCCUUGUUGGCUUGGGUUCAAUUCCCACCGAGGCCA
rnacentral:tRNA from 1 species